CACCAUGUAGUUUUCAAACACAUCAUUAGGGUACCUUUUGUAACACUACUAUAUCAUUUUAACUACAAAGCAGAACUGGCAGAUAGCUUCCAAAAUUCCCACAAAAGUGAAACCAAAGCUCCUAAAAAUAUCAAAAAAGUUGUGUAACUGCAAAAUUCCCAAAAAAACCCAAUCAAACCUCCUAAAAAGUGACACAAAGCUUGCAUAACUAGAACUCAAUUAUCUCCUUAGAAAUUGACUGUCAGUCUAAAAAAAUGAGAACUUAAACAAAGAACUGUAAACUUAGAAAUGCCAUAGUUAUCUGCAGAAAGAGCCGAUAGACAUUCAUCUCUUGAUCCUGCAGCUAUGUUAGCCCUUUUCCAUUAAAACUUUCCAGAGUUCCUGCAAAAGCAACUGUGGAGGUGCAGGCACCCUGGAUCCUCAGCACAGAGCACCGGGUGAAAGCUGGACCAGGAAGGGCGAAGGAGGGAGCCGGAGCCAUGCACUGCCUCCCCCUGCACCCGAGGCUGGGAAGCACAGAGGUCCC